rnacentral:tRNA from 1 species
GCCUCCGUGGCGCAAUCGGCUAGCGCGUUCGGCUGUUGACCGAAAGGUUGGUGGUUCGAGCCCACGCGGGGGCG